UUUUUUUUUUUUUUUUUUUGCCUUACUUUAAGAAGCUAGUUGGAGGGGCUGGAGAGAUGGCUCAGAGGUUUAAGGGCACUGGCUGCUCUUGCAGAGGUCCUGGGUUCGAUUCCAGCAUCUACAUGGCAGCCCACAGUCAUCUCUGACAAUAUCCUCUUGUGGUAUGCAUACCUGCAGACAAAACACCCAUAUAGAUAGAAUACAUACCUAAUAUUUAUCUUUUUUUUUUUAAGCUAGUUAAAGUAGCUGGAAAGAUAGCUUGGAGGUUCAGGGCACUCACUGCUCUUCCAGAGGUCCAAGGACCAGAACCCACAGCUUACAACAAACCAGCUAUAACUGUAGCUUUGGGGUCUCCAUAGUCCUCAUCUGAGUUCCAUGGGUUGGUAUAUACACACCCGCACACACUUGUGUAAAAAACGUGUUUCGUUUUGUUUGGAAGCAAGGUCUCACCGUGUAGAGACCCACCUCUGCCUCCCAAGUUCUGGGACUAAAGAUGUGAGCCAGCACGCCUGACCAAAGUGAAAUGUUUAAAGAAUCAGUAGGAGGUUUUCACAGAUGCUGGCUGGACAUGGACGGACCAUGUCUAGAAAACCGUUGUGUGUCCUCCGGGCUCUUCUUGGGAGCUGCUGGCUCUUUAGUGAACUUCCCCGCUGUACCGCCAGCCAGACGCCCCCUGCAAGCCCUGGCUGCCUGGCUGUGUGCACCAGUGCGCAGAUGGACUGUGCUAAGUUUAGCUGGUACAUGUUUGCUUUUAAGCGUGAGUUACCAUCUUUGGAGUUUGAUUCCCAAACCCAUGGUGAAGAUUUUGGUCCUCUGCUUGACAGACUCAGUUCCCGGACCCCGAUAUCCUCCCCUCCCCGAAACCCUCUUUAAUGUAGCGGCAUCUUUUGUUCUUCAUGCGCUGGGGUCCGCUGAGGCCCCUGUAAGUAACUCUCUGUCCUCAGCUGGGCUUUAAUGGAGAAGCUGUUGGCUGUGACGAGAAGUCCCUGUACCCUGGGCUGGAGUGGUCUAACCUGUGCUCCACAUGGCCACAUCCUUCUGGGACCAGGGGACAAGCCAGGUGCGCAGCCUUCUCACGAUGUGUGUCUCACACAACACUAUCAAAGGUCGGUUUUGCCUUACCUGGUAAACUUGGUCAUAUUCGUGGCAUCUUUAGAUGCUGUAAAGGUGGCUCUCCUAACAGUGUCACGUGUGUCAUCUCCAUGAAAUGCUCAUUUUGUGUUCUAGCUGCUUGUGACACUUGUACGACUUUAAGUUAGUAGUACUGUGCUUCAGCUGCCAGUCGGUCUGACGCUUUAUGCCAGGCCACCGAUCAUCUUAACUGAAAGCUGUGAGAGCUCUGUUGGUUUAAAUACACCCAGCAGCAUUUCGUAAGCUCUGGGAUGCUGGGGGCAGAGGGUGCAGUCAUUGGCUACUGAAGAAUUUCGACCACUAACGCUUCAUUUAAGAAAUACACUGAAGGCACCAGCCAGAAAUACAUUUAGGCGGUGGUGGUGCACACCCUUAAGUCUCAGUGCUUGGGAGGCAGAGGCAGGAGGAUCUCUGUGAGGACAGCCAGGUCUACACAAUUAGCCCUGUCUCAAAAAGACAAACAAGAGCAAAUU
rnacentral:lncRNA from 1 species